UACGGAGGGUGCAAGCGUUAUCCGGAUUCACUGGGUUUAAAGGGUGCGUAGGUGGGCAGGUAAGUCAGUGGUGAAAUCUCUGGGCUUAACCCAGAAACUGCCGUUGAUACUACAUGUCUUGAAUACCGUGGAGGUGAGCGGAAUAUGUCAUGUAGCGGUGAAAUGCUUAGAUAUGACAUAGAACACCAAUUGCGAAGGCAGCUCACUACACGAGCAUUGACUCUGAGGCACGAAAGCGUGGGGAUCAAACAGG
rnacentral:rRNA from 1 species